rnacentral:rRNA from 1 species
CCCUUAGAUGUUCUGGGCCGCACGCGCGCUACACUGACGAAGUCAGCGAGCAUGUCCUACGCCGACAGGUGCGGGGAAUCUUGUCAAACUUCGUCGUGAUGGGGAUUGAUUUUUGAAAUUCUUGAUCAUAAACGAGGAAUUCCUAGUAAGCGCAAGUCAGCAGCUUGCGUUGAUUACGUCCCUGCCCUUUGUACACACCGCCCGUCGCUACUACCGAUUGAAUGUUUAAGCGAGGUUCUCGAACUGCUAGCGACUUAGCUUCGGUGAGGUCGCAGUGUGGGAAGUGAACCUAGCUUUGGUGUCUAGAGGAAGUAAAAGUCGUAACA